GCCCUGGUGGCACAGUGGUUAAGAGUUUGGCUGCUAACCAAAAAGUCGGCAGUUCAAGUCUGUUCCUUGGAA
rnacentral:tRNA from 1 species